GACGAACGCUGGCGGCGUGCUUAACACAUGCAAGUCGAACGGAAAGGCCCUGCUCUUGUGGGGUGCUCGAGUGGCGAACGGGUGAGUAACACGUGAGUAACCUGCCCUUGACUUUGGGAUAACUUCAGGAAACUGGGGCGAAUACCGGAUAGGAGCUCCUGCUGCAUGGUGGGGGUUGGAAAGAUUCGGCGGUUGGGGAUGGACUCGCGGCUUAUCAGCUUGAUGGUGGGGUAGGGGCUGACCAAGGCUUUGACGGGUAGCCGGCCUGAGAGGGUGACCGGCCACAUUGGGACUGGGAUACGGCCCAGACUCCUACGGGAGGCAGCAGUGGGGAAUAUUGCGCAAUGGGCGGAAGCCUGAUGCAGCAACGCCGCGUGCGGGAUGACGGCCUUCGGGUUGUAAACCGCUUUCGCCUGUGACGAAGCGUGAGUGACGGUAAUGGGUAAAGAAGCACCGGCUAACUACGUG
rnacentral:rRNA from 1 species